rnacentral:rRNA from 1 species
GCGUAAAGCGUGCGUAGGUGGCAUGUUAAGUCAGAUGUGAAAGCCCUGGGCUUAACCUGGGAACGGCAUUUGAAACUGGCAAGCUAGAGUUGAGUAGAGGGGGGCGGAAUUUCCGGUGUAGCGGUGAAAUGCGUAGAUAUCGGAAGGAACACCCGUGGCGAAGGCGGCUCCCUGGACUCAAACUGACGCUGAGGUACGAAAGCGUGGGUAGCAAACAGGAUUAGAUACCCUGGUAGUCCACGCCCUAAACGAUGCCAUCUAGGUGUUGGGGAAGGAGACUUCCUUAGUACCGUAGCUAACGCGUGAAGUUGGCCGCCUGGGGAGUACGGUCGCAAGAUUAAAACUCAAAGGAAUUGACGGGGACCCGCACAAGCGGUGGAUGAUGUGGAUUAAUUCGAUGCAAUGCGAAAAACCUUACCUACCCUUGACAUGUCCGGAAUCCUGCUGAGAGGUGGGAGUGCUCGAAAGAGAGCCGGAACACAGGUGCUGCAUGGCUGUCGUCAGCUCGUGUCGUGAGAUGUUGGGUUAAGUCCCGCAACGAGCGCAACCCACGUCAUUAGUUGCCAUCAUUCAGUUGGGCACUCUAAUGAGACUGCCGGUGAUAAGUCCGCGAGGAAUGGUGUGGAUGACGUCAAGUCCUCAUGGCCCUUACGGGAUGGGCUACACACGUGCUACAAUGGCGGUGACAGUGGGACGCGAAACCGCGAGGUUGAGCAAAUCCCCAAAAGCCGUCUCAGUUCGGAUUGCACUCUGCAACUCGGGUGCAUGAAGGCGGAAUCGCUAGUAAUCGUGGAUCAGCACGCC